rnacentral:sRNA from 1 species
GAGCUGAGAUCAUGCCACUGCACUCCAGCCUGGGUGACAGAGCGAGACUCCGUCUCAAAAACAAAAACAAACAAAAAAAAAGAAAUUCAUAAGGUUGUGGAAAGGAGAAGAACCCCUGCUGAAAUUCGAGAGGAGUUUGAGCGGCUGCAGAGAGAGAGGGAAGAGAGGAGGCUGCAGCAGCGAACCAAUCCCAAGGGAACGAUCAGCGUUGGAGUAGAUGCCACUGACCUUUUUGAUCGCUAUGAUGAGGAGUAUGAAGAUGUGUCCGGCAGUAGCUUUCCGCAGAUUGAAAUUAAUAAAAUGCACAUAUCCCAGUCCAUUGAGGCACCCUUGACAGCGACAGACACAGCCAUCCUCUCUGG